rnacentral:rRNA from 1 species
AACGAACGCUGGCGGCAUGCCUAACACAUGCAAGUCGAACGAGACCUUCGGGUCUAGUGGCGCACGGGUGCGUAACGCGUGGGAAUCUGCCCUGGGGUGCGGAAUAACUCGGAGAAAUCCGUGCUAAUACCGCAUAAUGUCUUCGGACCAAAGAUUUAUCGCCCUGGGAUGAGCCCGCGUAGGAUUAGCUAGUUGGUGGGUAAAGGCCUACCAAGGCGACGAUCCUUAGCUGGUCUGAGAGGAUGAUCAGCCACACUGGGACUGAGACACGGCCCAGACUCCUACGGGAGGCAGCAGUGGGGAAUAUUGGACAAUGGGCGAAAGCCUGAUCCAGCAAUGCCGCGUGAGUGAUGAAGGCCCUAGGGUUGUAAAGCUCUUUUACCCGGGAUGAUAAUGACAGUACCGGGAGAAUAAGCUCCGGCUAACUCCGUGCCAGCAGCCGCGGUAA